rnacentral:rRNA from 1 species
GACAGAGGGUGCAAACGUUGUUCGGAAUUACUGGGCGUAAAGCGAGUGUAGGCGGUCCGAAAAGUCGGGUGUGAAAGUCCAGGGCUCAACCCUGGGAUGCCGGUCGAUACUGCCGGACUAGAGUUCGGAAGAGGCGAGUGGAAUUCCCGGUGUAGCGGUGAAAUGCGCAGAUAUCGGGAGGAACACCGGUGGCGAAGGCGGUUCUCUGGGCCUUACCUGACGCUGAGGAGCGAAAGCGCGGGGAGCGAACAGG